rnacentral:misc_RNA from 1 species
CAGAGUUCAUGCCCUAACGGGUAGAUCUCCCACCCAAUGUUAUUAUUACUUUGUUGCUUUGGCGGGCCGUCAGGUCACUGCCACCGGCCUCGGCUGGUGUGCGCCCGCCAGAGACCCAAAACCCUGAAUAUUAGUGUCGUCUGAGUACUAUAUAAUAGUUA